CAAAAUAAGGGAAACCCUUAUUCAACUUUUAUCCACCAAAUUGAAGGAUGAAUUAGGGCCAAAUCACAUGCAUAAACAUAAAUUCGUGAUCAUCUAAGCUUGGAGAUCAUGAGGUGGAAGCUUGGGAAAGAAGCGGGUCAAACAAAUCAAGUACGAGGAAAAAGCAUAAUUUGGAUGCAAGGUGAUAGCUAGGACCUUACGGAUGAUGACCAAACUUAUUAGACGAACCGAACACAACUGAAUUUCAAGCUUCCGCUUAUUUUCGUUAUUUUACGAACCGAAUCAAUUAUGAAGUUUGUAAAAGAUUUAUAUUUUACGAAUGUAUUA
rnacentral:lncRNA from 1 species